AUAGUUCUUUCUUAAUACCAUGGCUGAGCUUGUCCUUCGACAAAUAUGCGACAAAGCUUUGCGAGUCCGAUGAUCCUCAAGCUGGAGCGCAGUGAGUAUAAGAUGUGGAAGUGAUGGAAUGUUGGUGUCUUUUGGUUCGCCGAUUGGAAGAUGUGGAAGUGCCGAGUGUUUGGUUUCGUUUGGUUCGCUUGUAUUUUCCGUAGAGUUCUUCCCGUUUAGUUUCAAUUUUUCUGUAACUCAAGGCUUUGGUGACAUGUUUCCUAUAAUACACGUUGUAAUGUGCUUUUUUGAAGUUAUUAUGAGAUUUUUUUCUACGAA